rnacentral:rRNA from 1 species
GACGAACGCUGGCGGCGUGCUUAACACAUGCAAGUCGAACGGAAAGGCCCUGCUUUUGUGGGGUGCUCGAGUGGCGAACGGGUGAGUAACACGUGAGUAACCUGCCCUUGACUUUGGGAUAACUUCAGGAAACUGGGGCUAAUACCGGAUAGGAGCUCCUGCUGCAUGGUGGGGGUUGGAAAGUUUCGGCGGUUGGGGAUGGACUCGCGGCUUAUCAGCUUGUUGGUGGGGUAGUGGCUUACCAAGGCUUUGACGGGUAGCCGGCCUGAGAGGGCGACCGGCCACAUUGGGACUGAGAUACGGCCCAGACUCCUACGGGAGGCAGCAGUGGGGAAUAUUGCACAAUGGGCGGAAGCCUGAUGCAGCAACGCCGCGUGCGGGAUGACGGCCUUCGGGUUGUAAACCGCUUUCGCCUGUGACGAAGCGUGAGUGACGGUAAUGGGUAAAGAAGCACCGGCUAACUAUGUG